AUAUGUUUUAGUUGUAGUGUUUUUAGAUCAUGGUAGUAAAUAUUAGCAAUAUAUAUCAAAUAGAUUGGUACAUGGGUAUUUAUCUUAUUUAAACAAGUUCUGCAUUUUUGUAAUUGUUAUUGGGACACUAAAUUGUGUACAUGUUUAUAGGUUUAGCCCUGUUCUAAAAGCUGCUGAGGGAAGAACAUACAGAAAUUUGGUAUCACAGAAUUUCAAAAAAGAACUCUAAUUCCCACCUCCUCCCCUGCUUCCACCUG
rnacentral:lncRNA from 1 species